AUGAUUUCCGUCAAUAGGGCCCUUCUUGAUCUGGGGCGCCUUGCCUUCCGCCGUCCGUUUGGGCCGGCGGAAUCCGCCGCCUGGCGUGAGUUGCUUGAUUGCGUUGCGUUUCAUGAGCCGCUUGUGGAUGAUAGGCCGGACUGUACCAGGUGGAGACUUGAGCCGUCGCGCUUGUUCACCACCCGGUCGCUCUAUGCGGCCAUUGCCCCUUCCUCCGCACCCCUCCCCUUAUCGAUGGUCUGGACCGCCCGGGUUCCUCUGAAGAUUCGCAUCUUCAUGUGGCAAUGGAUCCGUGGUAGACUUCCGUCUGGUGUGGAGGUCCGGAAGCGCAAUGGCCCCGGCUCCGGUAUCUGCCCUCUCUGUGGCGUCCCGGAGGACUCGAACCACAUCUUCUUCUCCUGCAUCUCCGCUCAAUUUCUUUGGAGCUGCUUCCGCGAGGUGGUCGGCGGGAGUUGGUGCCACACUAACUUCCCGGACCUCUUUGCAGAACUCCAAUUGUCCCCCCGUGUCCAUUCGCCACAUUAG
rnacentral:rRNA from 1 species